rnacentral:rRNA from 1 species
UACAGAGGGUGCGAGCGUUAAUCGGAAUUACUGGGCGUAAAGCGCGCGUAGACGGCUUCGUAAGUCGGAUGUGAAAUCCCCGGGCUCAACCUGGGAACUGCGCUUGUGACUGCAAGGCUAGAGUAUGGCAGAGGGGGGUGGAAUUCCACGUGUAGCAGUGAAAUGCGUAGAGAUGUGGAGGAACACCGAUGGCGAAGGCAGCCCCCUGGGCCAAUACUGACGCUCAUGCACGAAAGCGUGGGUAGCAAACAGG